rnacentral:rRNA from 1 species
AGUUUGAUCCUGGCUCAGGAUGAACGCUAGCUACAGGCUUAACACAUGCAAGUCGAGGGGCAGCAUCAUCAAAGCUUGCUUUGAUGGAUGGCGACCGGCGCACGGGUGAGUAACACGUAUCCAACCUGCCGACAACUCUGGGAUAGCCUUUCGAAAGAAAGAUUAAUACCGGAUGGCAUAGUCUUCCCGCAUGGGAUGACUAUUAAAGAAUUUCGGUUGUCGAUGGGGAUGCGUUCCAUUAGGCAGUUGGCGGGGUAACGGCCCACCAAACCAACGAUGGAUAGGGGUUCUGAGAGGAAGGUCCCCCACAUUGGAACUGAGACACGGUCCAAACUCCUACGGGAGGCAGCAGUGAGGAAUAUUGGUCAAUGGACGAGAGUCUGAACCAGCCAAGUAGCGUGAAGGAUGACUGCCCUAUGGGUUGUAAACUUCUUUUAUACGGGAAUAAAGUGAGCCACGUGUGGCUUUUUGUAUGUACCGUAUGAAUAAGGAUCGGCUAACUCCGUGCCAGCAGCCGCGGUAAUACGGAGGAUCCGAGCGUUAUCCGGAUUUAUUGGGUUUAAAGGGAGCGUAGGCGGGUUGUUAAGUCAGUUGUGAAAGUUUGCGGCUCAACCGUAAAAUUGCAGUUGAUACUGGCGACCUUGAGUGCAACAGAGGUAGGCGGAAUUCGUGGUGUAGCGGUGAAAUGCUUAGAUAUCACGAAGAACUCCGAUUGCGAAGGCAGCUUACUGGAUUGUAACUGACGCUGAUGCUCGAAAGUGUGGGUAUCAAACAGGAUUAGAUACCCUGGUAGUCCACACAGUAAACGAUGAAUACUCGCUGUUGGCGAUAUACAGUCAGCGGCCAAGCGAAAGCAUUAAGUAUUCCACCUGGGGAGUACGCCGGCAACCGUGAAACUCAAAGGAAUUGACGGGGGCCCGCACAAGCGGAGGAACAUGUGGUUUAAUUCGAUGAUACGCGAGGAACCUUACCCGGGCUUAAAUUGCAACUGACGGAACCGGAAACGGUUCUUUCUUCGGACAGUUGUGAAGGUGCUGCAUGGUUGUCGUCAGCUCGUGCCGUGAGGUGUCGGCUUAAGUGCCAUAGCGAGCGCAACCCUUACGGGUAGUUACCAUCAGGUUAUGCUGGGGACUCUACCCGGACUGCCGUCGUAAGAUGUGAGGAAGGUGG